rnacentral:rRNA from 1 species
GACGAACGCUGGCGGCGUGCUUAACACAUGCAAGUCGAACGGAAAGGCCCUGCUUUUGUGGGGUGCUCGAGUGGCGAACGGGUGAGUAACACGUGAGUAACCUGCCCUUGACUUUGGGAUAACUUCAGGAAACUGGGGCUAAUACCGGAUCGGAGCUCCUGCUGCAUGGUGGGGGUUGGAAAGUUUCGGCGGUUGGGGAUGGACUCGCGGCUUAUCAGCUUGUUGGUGGGGUAGUGGCUUACCAAGGCUUUGACGGGUAGCCGGCCUGAGAGGGUGACCGGCCACAUGGGGACUGAGAUACGGCCCAGACGCCUACGGGAGGCAGCAGUGGGGAAUAUUGCACAAUGGGCGGAAGCCUGAUGCAACAACGUCGCGGGCGGGAUGACGGCCUGCGGGUUGUAAACCGCUGUCGCCUGUGACGAAGCGUGAGUGACGGUAAUGAGUAAAGAAGCACCGGCUAACUACGUG